AUUGAACGCUGGCGGCAGGCCUAACACAUGCAAGUCGAACGAGUGGCGGACGGGUGAGUAACGUCUGGGAAACUGCCUGAUGGAGGGGGAUAACUACUGGAAACGGUAGCUAAUACCGCAUACCAUCAGAUGUGCCCAGAUGGGAGUAGCUAGUUGGUGGGGUAACGGCUCACCAAGGCGACGAUCCCUAGCUGGUCUGAGAGGAUGACCAGCCACACUGGAAGUGCGACACGGUCCAGACUCCGAGGGGGGGCAGCAGUGGGCAAGAUUGCACAAUGGGCGGAAGCCUGAUGCAGCCAUGCCGCGUGUAUGAAGAAGGCCUUCGGGUUGUAAAGUACUUUCAGCGGGGAGGCGUUACCCGCAGAAGAAGCACCGGCUAACUCCGGGCCAGCAGCCGCGGUAAUAC
rnacentral:rRNA from 1 species